rnacentral:rRNA from 1 species
UACGUAGGGGGCAAGCGUUGUCCGGAUUUACUGGGCGUAAAGAGCGUGUAGGCGGCCAAGCAGGUCCGUUGUGAAAACUGGAGGCUUAACCUCCAGACGUCGACGGAAACCGCGUGGCUAGAGUCCGGAAGAGGAGAGUGGAAUUCCUGGUGUAGCGGUGAAAUGCGCAGAUAUCAGGAAGAACACCAAUGGCGAAGGCAGCUCUCUGGGACGGUACUGACGCUGAGACGCGAAAGCGUGGGGAGCGAGCAGG